UACGUAGGGGGCAAGCGUUGUCCGGAAUCAUUGGGCGUAAAGAGCGUGUAGGCGGCCCGGUAAGUCCGCUGUGAAAGUCCAGGGCUCAACCCUGGAAUGCCGGUGGAAACUGUCGGGCUAGAGUCCGGAAGAGGCGAGUGGAAUUCCUGGGUGUAGCGGUGAAAUGCGCAGAUAUCAGGAGGAACACCAAUGGCGAAGGCAGCUCGCUGGGACGGUACUGACGCUGAGACGCGAAAGCGUGGGGAGCGAACAGG
rnacentral:rRNA from 1 species